rnacentral:rRNA from 1 species
GCAGUCGAGCGGAACGACACUAACNNUCCUUCGGGUGCGUUAAUGGNCGUCNNGCGGCGGACGGGUGAGUAAUGCCUAGGAAAUUGCCUUGAUGUGGGGGAUAACCAUUGGAAACGAUGGCUAAUACCGCAUAAUGCCUACGGGCCAAAGAGGGGGACCUUCGGGCCUCUCGCGUCAAGAUAUGCCUAGGUGGGAUUAGCUAGUUGGUGAGGUAAUGGCUCACCAAGGCGACGAUCCCUAGCUGGUCUGAGAGGAUGAUCAGCCACACUGGAACUGAGACACGGUCCAGACUCCUACGGGAGGCAGCAGUGGGGAAUAUUGCACAAUGGGCGAAAGCCUGAUGCAGCCAUGCCGCGUGUAUGAAGAAGGCCUUCGGGUUGUAAAGUACUUUCAGUUGUGAGGAAGGGGGUAGUGUUAAUAGCGCUAUCUCUUGACGUUAGCAACAGAAGAAGCACCGGCUAACUCCGUGCCAGCAGCCGCGGUAAUACGGAGGGUGCGAGCGUUAAUCGGAAUUACUGGGCGUAAAGCGCAUGCAGGUGGUUCAUUAAGUCAGAUGUGAAAGCCCGGGGCUCAACCUCGGAACUGCAUUUGAAACUGGUGAACUAGAGUACUGUAGAGGGGGGUAGAAUUUCAGGUGUAGCGGUGAAAUGCGUAGAGAUCUGANGGAAUACCAGNGGCGAAGGCGGCCCCCUNNNAGAUACUGACACUCANAUGCGAAAGCGUGGGGAGC